AACGAACGCUGGCGGCAUGCCUAACACAUGCAAGUCGAACGAGACCUUCGGGUCUAGUGGCGCACGGGUGCGUAACGCGUGGGAACCUGCCCUUAGGUUCGGAAUAACUCCCCGAAAGGGGUGCUAAUACCGGAUAAUGUCUUCGGACCAAAGAUUUAUCGCCUUUGGAUGGGCCCGCGUUGGAUUAGCUAGUUGGUAGGGUAAAAGCCUACCACGGCGACGAUCCAUAGCUGGUCUGAGAGGAUGAUCAGCCACACUGGGACUGAGACACGGCCGAGACUCCUACGGGAGGCAGCAGUGGGGAAUAUUGGAAAAUGGGCGAAAGCCUGAAGCAGCAAUGCCGGGUGAGUGAUGAAGGCCGUAGGGAAGUAAAGCUCGUUUACCCGGGAUGAUAAUGACAGUACCGGGAGAAUAAGCACCGGCUAACUCCGUG
rnacentral:rRNA from 1 species